UACGUAGGGGGCAAGCGUUGUCCGGAAUUAUUGGGCGUAAAGAGCGUGUAGGCGGCCAGAUAAGUCCGCUGUGAAAUCUCGAGGCUCAACUUCGAGCUGUCGGUGGAAACUAUCUGGCUAGAGUCCGGAAGAGGAGAAUGGAAUUCCUGGUGUAGCGGUGAAAUGCGCAGAUAUCAGGAAGAACACCCGUGGCGAAGGCGGUUCUCUGGGACGGUACUGACGCUGAGGAGCGAAAGCAUGGGGAGCGAACAGG
rnacentral:rRNA from 1 species